rnacentral:rRNA from 1 species
UGAGGGAAUAUUGGGUCAAUGGGGCGCAAGCCUGAACCAGCCAAGUAGCGUGAAGGAUGACUGCCCUAUGGGUUGUAAACUUCUUUUAUGCGGGAAUAACCUCGACCAUGUAUGGUCGUUUGCAUGUACCUUAUGAAUAAGGACCGGCUAAUUCCGUGCCAGCAGCCGCGGUAAUACGGAAGGUCCGGGCGUUAUCCGGAUUUAUUGGGUUUAAAGGGAGCGUAGGCCGGAGAUUAAGCGUGUUGUGAAAUGUAGAGGCUCAACCUCUGCACUGCAGCGCGAACUGGUCUUCUUGAGUACGCACAACGUGGGCGGAAUUCGUGGUGUAGCGGUGAAAUGCUUAGAUAUCACGAAGAACUCCGAUUGCGAAGGCAGCUCACGGGAGCGCAACUGACGCUGAAGCUCGAAAGUGCGGGUAUCGAACA